UUCGCCAGGGAACAACGAGCCCCAGCUUAAAACCCAAAGGACUUGGCGGUGCUUUAGACCCCCCUAGAGGAGCCUGUUCUAGAACCGAUACUCCCCGUUCAACCUCACCCCCUCUUGUCUUUCCCGCCUAUAUACCGCCGUCGUCAGCUUACCCUGUGAAGGGCCAACAGUAAGCAAAAUUGGCACAGCCCAAAACGUCAGGUCGAGGUGUAGCGCACGAGGGGGGAAGAAAUGGGCUACAUUUACUGUCCCAGUAAACACGAAUAUUGCACUGAAAUGAGCAUUUGAAGGAGGAUUUAGCAGUAAGGGGAGAACAGAGAGCCCCCCUGAAAAUGGCCCUUAAGCGCGCACACACCGCCCGUCACUCUCCCCGACGCAAACUUGACCCAUAAAUAAUAAAAACCAUACAACAAGGGGAGGCAAGUCGUAACAUGGUAAGUGUACCGGAAGGUGCACUUGGAAAAACC
rnacentral:rRNA from 1 species